UUUCCCCUACGGGGCGCAGCAGUGAGGAAUAUUGGUCAAUGGCCGGAAGGCUGAACCAGCCAAGUCGCGUGAGGGACGACUGCCCUAUGGGUUGUAAACCUCUUUUAUAAGGGAAGAAUAAAUGCUACGUGUAGCAUGAUGCCUGUACCUUAUGAAUAAGCAUCGGCUAACUCCGUGCCAGCAGCCGCGGUAAUACGGAGGAUGCGUGCGUUAUCCGGAUUUAUUGGGUUUAAAGGGUGCGUAGGCGGUUUUUUAAGUUAGUGGUUAAACGUCGGGGCUUCACCUUGAGUUGCCAUUAA
rnacentral:rRNA from 1 species